rnacentral:tRNA from 1 species
AAUAAAUUCAAAUUAAGAAAUAUAUUCCAAUUAAGCUGCUAAACUUAAUUUAUAGUGAUU